GAAUGUGAAUGUAAAUGUAAAUCAAGUUGCGGCCUAACAUGGACAAAUGAGUAAUGGCUGAUUGACCAGCUGGAAAUUAAGAAUCGCUCUCCUCGAUCUUUUCUAUUUGCUUUUAAAAUAUUGAAAAAAUAGGUGAAUUUUUCGUGUAUAAAUAGAAUGCAAGAGAAGAGGGGAAAAUAACUACACUUAAUAAUUUCACAGUUGAGAGCAGAGCAUACAUUAAAGAUGAUGCAGAAGAAGACGUUGGCGAUAGCUCUGGUGUGGCUCCUGGUUGCGUCGUCAAUCAUGAUGUGCGCGUACGCAGCUGCAGACAGUACCCCAUUGAAAACUGCUGACCAAGUUCUCCAUCCCCUAGCAGGUAAGAACGAACAUCAUAUAUAUCCUUUUGCUUUCGCAUCUGUUCUACAAAUUAAUAUUCUACAUAGUAUAUAUAUAUAUACAUACUACUACAAUUAGGCGCAAUGUGUUUCGGUGCUUGAAUGCAUGCAUGCAUGUGCAUUUACGUAAUAUAUAGUAAUUUAGAGUAUAUAUAUAUAUAUAUAUAUUCAUAGAACUAACUAUAUGUGGAUGCUAAUAAAUACAUACACUACUUGAAGGUUGUCGCUGCUGCAACUUCAUUCGUGUGAAAGGGUUUAUCCAAUGCGGAACAGUUUGUUGUGUGGAUGGAUGUUGCGGACGCAAGUGAAGCACCUGCAAUGCAGCUACACAGACAAUAAUAUGAAUCAUGGUGAUAUAGUUGCACAAUAAGAUGAAUAAUGGUGGUUAAAAGUUGCAACAUCUCUGAAGCAAUUAAUCAACCACCCCCCNNNNNNNNNNNNNNNNNNNNNNNNNNNNNNNNNNNNNNNNNNNNNNNNNNNNNNNNNNNNNNNNNNNNNNNNNNNNNNNNNNNNNNNNNNNNNNNNNNNNUAAUUAUUAUCGAUUUCCCUGUUUGUUUGUUUUGCAUUCCUAUCGAGUUAUAUAAUGUUUGUCGAAAAGAUCCUGUUUAAUGAAAAAUGUCUGGAAAUCUGGGUGUUUCAGCAGGAUUUCUUUACGUUAUGUAUGUCUACAUGAGGAUUUAUCUAUAAUCUAUCUAUAUAAAAGCGAUCGACUCGUUAAUCUAAAAGUAUCAUUCAUUUCAAGAGUUUGAUUCACAAUCUGUCCUGCCUGCCUACUAAUUUCAAGGAACAACUAGAUGAACUGCUUCUAGUGUUAACACAAGAAAAACUGUUUCUGCUCCAUACCAACCAAAACAUACAAAACUGCACCUUUUUAUAGUCAUUUCAUGAUACUUACCAUAUGAAUGUUCCAAUACACAAAUGUUCCGAUCUAUAAAAAUUUAUUUUUUAUUUUUAUUUUUUUGAAAAAACCUGGAAAAAAAUACAUUAUGUCGUUCAAAUUAGGGAGUACAUGCGUAAUAGGGUUGAGGGAUAUAUACCUACUCUAUUCAAAAAUGAAGUACGUUACAAACUUUCAUAAUCUAAGUAAGAAAAUAAAGUAUCGAUAAACAACUUUCAAAGACAUGCCAAGUCUCGCAUCCAAUUUAUAUCAUAUAAUCACCAUUCAACGAUCAUCAUAAAAGAAAAUCACUCACCACAUCAGUAGAAUCAGAGCUCCCACAAGGAGAAAAAAGACCCCACAAGAGGGGAGAAAGAACGAUUUAAACCUAAAGGAGAAAAUAAAAUUCCAAAACAAUGAUAAAAUAAAAAAAGAUAGUCAAUAAGAAGAUCAUGGGAGGGUCUCUUCAAACAAGAUACAGACCCUCACCCUCCCCAGGUCUAAGUUUGAAGUUUGGGAGACUAGGGUUUAUGGCUAGAGAGAGAAAAACACAACUAUGAAUGAAUUAUUAGUCUCAUGAUCCGUGUUAAGGGUCUCACAUUUUUAGUUUCAAAUAGGUCUAAAUGAUAUGACAUUGAAUAUUUUAAUAGUACUUUGACACUUUUUGAAAUAAAAAAUUGGAUUUCUAACUAGAUUGGAUUUCUAGGGACUUCAAACAGAAUGCUGGAAUUUAUCAUGCACCUUUUCUACCUUCAACAGAAACUUCUCUACCCAACAGUGUGAUUUCUAACUGUAUUGUGUGCGUAAAAUAUACGGAUUUGGUCAUCUUAUAUUGUAAAAUCAGAAAGGCAAUCUUUUUAAACUGUAAAGUUAUAUGUGCACUUGAAAGUUUCUUGUCAAGAGUUGUACAAGUAAAAAAAAUUAAAAAAAAAACAAGUGUUUCCAUCUUUCUAGCUAUUUGCCAUUUUCACUUCGAUCCGAUUGAUCAGUCCUGAGCCUCUGAAUGAAAACUUUCACACUUGUGUGUGCACACAUGCACACACAUACGUUUGCCUGCAAUCAGUACAUUGAAGAGUCAAAUUUUGUGACAACGAUGGCAAGGUUCUUCUAUCUUGUUGAAAGAUAAUCACAAGAUUUCUUAAAUGGGUAACUGCACUCAGAGGAUCUAACACAAAGGAUGAGAAAAUAAAAUUGAAAACAAUUGCCUUUUCAAACCAAAGGGCCUACCUUAGCUACUUAAUAUUAUAGUGAUAACAAAUUUGAGAAAAUAGAUAGCCUUAAAUAUUGAUUCACUUGCAAAAGUGGCUCCAAUAGAAAGAUAUCUAGCAAUCUGGGGAAACGUGGAAUUCUAUACUCCAAGGAGUACUAGGAAAUGGACUUCAGACUCUUCAAGAUCUAUUAAGAUAGAGAGCAUGAAAUUUCUACUACAAUCAAGUAGUUCAAAAUAAAUGUUUAGAUGGAAAUUAUAUUCAUUUUCUUAUUUCUGUCUACGUUUAGUUGAUCAAGACGAACUCAUGUAAGCAGGGUAAAGUUUUCCUGCAGAAUAAGUGUGGUGACAAUUUUUAAUAGAGGCUAUUUAAACACAUAAACUAUAGAGGAAUCAUUUUCAACUGGAUUACCAAUGUCCUAAUUUACGUGUCCCCUCAUCUUUUUUUAUUGUUCCAAAACCUUGUCAUUAGUUUUAUAACAACUUGUAUGGCUAAUACUAGAUUUUUGAAAUGAGAACCUCAACCACUAAAUGGUGGUAAUAUUGGAAUCUCAAACUGCUCUAUAGGCCUUCAGGCUAUUUUAGUGCCUAAAACCCUCAAUUGGGACUGGCGGAGUAUUUGAAAGGACACUUCUGAGUUUUUUCAUUUCAAUUACCAAGAGAAACCCACUGAGAAAUGACAAGCAGACCUAUCGAAUAUCUUUAAAAUAUUAUAAAUAAAAUAAAAAUACAACAACUUGAACAGACAAGACAAUAGUCAAGGACUUGAUUCUUUGUUUUGUGCAAGAAUAAGUACAUGCAUGUAAUCUUGAGUGAACAACAACUUGUUCAUAUUGAAUGUAAAUGUAAAUCAAGUUGCGGCCUAACAUGGACAAAUGAGUAAUGGCUGAUUGACCAGCUGGAAAUUAAGAAUCGCUCUCCUCCCCUAUUUGCUUUAAAAUAUUGAAAAAAUAGGUGAAUUUUUCGUGUAUAAAUAGAAUGCAAGAGAAGAGGGGAAAAUUACCUGGGCUAGCUACACUUAAUAAUUUUACAGUUGACAGCAGAGUAUAUAUUAAAGAUGAUGCAGAAGAAGACCUUGGCAAUAGCUCUGGUGUGGCUCCUGGUUGCGUCGUCAAUCAUGAUGUGCACGUACGCAGCUGCAGACACUGCAUUUAAAACUGCUGACCAAGUUCUCCAUCCCCUAGCAGGUAAGAACGAACAUCCAUUUACUUAAUCAUGAAUCGCAUCUGUCCUACAAAUAUUCUGCAUAGUAUAUAUAUAUAUAUAUAUAUAUAUAUAUAUACACACACACUUACUAAUUAAGCGCAAUGUGUUUCGGUGCUUGAAUGCAUGCAUGCAUGUGCAUUUACGUAAUAUAUAAUUUAGAGUGUAUAUAUAUGUGUAUAUAUAUAUAUAUAUAUAUAUAUAUAUAUAUAUAUUCAUAGAACUAUAUAUGCUAAUGGAUACAUACACUACUUGAAGGUUGUCGCUGCUGCAACUUCAUUCGUGUGAAUGGGUUUAUCCAAUGCGGAAUAGUUUGUUGUGUGGAUGGAUGUUGCGGUCGCAAGUGAAGCACCUGCAAUGCAGCUACACAGACAAUAAUAUGAAUCAUGGUGGUGGUGUUGCACAAUAAGAUGAAUAAUGGUGGUCAAAAGUUGCAACAUCGCUGAAGCAAUCAAAGCCCCCCUUAUAGAUUUCCCUGUUUGUUUGUUUUGCAUUCCUAUCGAGUUAUAUAAUGUUUGUCGAAAAGAUCCUGUUUAAUGAAAAAUGUCUGGAAAUCUGGGUGUUUCAGCAGGAUUUCUUUAUGUUGAUGUAUGUAUGUAUGUCUACAUGAGGAUAUCUAUUAUAUAUACUAAAUCACAGUACAUGGCACCAUAUAUUGACAAAUGUCCUUCUACAAAUUCAACACUUGUCCAUCUUAAAUAGUUUUAAUUAUGUCACAAUUAUCUUAAUUAUAU
rnacentral:lncRNA from 1 species